CUACCAUUUGUGGACUUAGAGAAUGCCUUAUCCACCACCAUGGCAUUGCACAUAGCAUUAUUUGUGAUCAACGAAAUUACUUCAUGCAAAUAAAGUGUAGCAAUGGGCCCGUGCUCAUGAAAUUUGCGUUCCUCACCAUCCUAAAUCAGCUGGUUUGACAGAAUAGUGGAAUGGCCUUUUGAAGACUGUUACAGUGCCCACUAAGAAGGAAAACUAUACAAGGUGGGGAAAGGUUCCCUAAAAGGCUGUAUACACUUGGGAAUCAGUGUCUAAUAUAUGGUGCCAUUUCUCCCAUAGCCAGGAUCCAUAGAUCUAGAAAUCAGGGGGUGGAAUUGGUAGUGGCACCACUCAUUAUCCCUAGUGACCUACUAGCAAAAUGUUUGCUUCCUGUUCUUGUGACCUUAUGCUUUCCUAUCCUAGAGGUCUUAGUUCCAAAGAGAGAUGCUUCCACCAGGAGACACAACAGUGAUUUCAUUGAACUGGAAAUUAAGACUGCUGCCUGGCUGCUUUGGCCUCCUCAUGCUUCCAAAGCAACAGACAAAGAAGGGAGUCCACAUUUCUGGCUGGGGUGUUUGAUCCGGACUACCAGGGGGAAAUUGAACUACUACUCUACGAUAGAGCAGAAUCAGAGAGCUGGUACCAUUUCAGUAGGUCCUUGGGCUGCCUGAAAAUUAUGACGCUGGAGCAUCAUUUACUCAAAAUGCUCAUCCAAAAACAGGACAUCAAAACUAGUCACUCUUCGCCUUAUGGAAACGAAUACCCCAAGGUAAUAUGGUAUUAUUAUUAUUAUUUCUGAUUGGCAUAUAGCUCUGGUGAGGGUGGAUUUUUACACUCAUGCUAUAUCCUUCCUGUCAUUCUUUUCCCCUCUGUAGAUUUCCUCUGGACACUUUCCACACAUUCUCAUCUGGCCCCUGCUCUUGAGCAAGUUGAAUUAGGAGGUGGUACCUGGCAGUUCCUCCUCUAAUUAUCCAGGGAAGACAGAAAAAGAGGAAAACAGGAGUUGAGAGGUAAAGCUUAGAACAGAGAGAUAACCAUUAGCUAGAAAGGCCGAAUAGUAGGAGAAAAGAUAGCACAGGAGGCAAGGAGAGCAUGGUGAGCCAUGGAAGGGGUGAGGGAAAGAGACUGAAGACUCAACUCCACCAGUGUGGGAUCAUCUUUGGAUGUGGACUCUGUUGUGUCUUGGGUUCAGGUUAUUUAAGAAGCCUAGUGAGCCAGAUGGUCCCCUCCUUAGCGUCUGGUUUUGUGAGGUUGUAACUUGGCCUUUCAGUUCCCUAAUAGUUCACAUUAUCUCCUCUUCCUCCUAGGCCUUUUUAUCACUUCUUACCAUUUUAUCUCCCAAUUGGUUGAUAUUGACUUCUUAUUAAAUAAAAUGUGGUCUUUGCUCUUAAGUUAAAAUUCU
rnacentral:lncRNA from 13 species